UACGUAGGGUGCAAGCGUUAUCCGGAAUUAUUGGGCGUAACGAGCUCGUAGGCGGUUUGUCGCGUCUGCUGUGAAAACUGGAGGCUCAACCUCCAGCCUGCAGUGGGUACGGGCAGACUAGAGUGCGGUAGGGGAGAUUGGAAUUCCUGGUGUAGCGGUGGAAUGCGCAGAUAUCAGGAGGAACACCGAUGGCGAAGGCAGAUCUCUGGGCCGUAAAUGACGAUGAGGAGCGAAAGCAUGGGGAGCGAACAGG
rnacentral:rRNA from 1 species